GACUCAGAUUCGGAAAGAAGCAAAGCAAGCUAGAGGAAAACUGGAUGUCCAGUAUCCAAAACUCCGUGUUACAGCGGAUCUUCUCCUCUGAUCCGAAAAGCUUCACAGGCCAAAAGAGAAUUGAGAUGAAGAAGGCAAGAGAGAAUGCAGACCAAGACUUCCAAUUCCCCCCCGUGUGAGGUGAAGAAGAACACUGCAGCCAGCUGAAGCCGUAUCGGACACAUGCUUCUGUUCUGCUCGGAAGUAAACCAGAGUGAUUCCACGGUGUACUUUAGACAGAUUUCCUCUGGACUCAGCAUCCCCAAGGGAUAUUUCCAAGCUCUCGGAAGGACCUGUCGUUCUCUCUGACACUGCAGUCUCCAUUAGGAAGGGACACCACCCGGCUAGCCAAGCUAAACCACUGAAAAUGGAAGGAGUGGGACAUCUUCAAAA